CCUUCCAGUCAGCAUUAGGGUUUUAAACCCUAAACUGAAUCUUUCCUUUCAGUCAGCAUUAGGGUUUUAAACCCUAAACUGAACUUUUUCCUUUAAUCAGCAUUAGGGUUUUAAAACCCUAAACUGAACUCUUCCUCUUAAUCAGCAUUAGGGUUUUAAACCCUAAAUUGAAUUUUUCCUUUAGUCAGCAUUAGGGUUUUAAACCCUAAACUGAACUCUUCCUCUUAAUCAGCAUUAGGGUUUUAAAUCCUAAACUGAUUUUUUCCUAUUAAUCAGCAUUGGGGUUUUAAACCCUAAACUGAACUUUUCCUUUCAGUCAGCAUUAGGGUUUUAAACCCUAAACUGAACUUUUCUAUUCGGUCAGCAUUAGGGUUUUAAACCCUAAACUGAACUUUUCCCCAGUUGGUCAGUAUUAGAGUUUCAACUCUAAAACUGAACUUCUCCCCAGCUAGUCGGUAUUAGGGCUCCAACCCUGAACUGAGCAUUCAUAUCUUCUUUCAUCAAUUUUAUGAACUUCCUGGCGAAUAAUUCACGAAAUUUUUCCUAGUGAAACUGGGGCAAAAAAUUUCGUUCGUUUUUUCUUUUCCCGCAGGUCUAAUCUCGAGCCACACGGAUCGAAAUGACCCACGAGAUGAGUCUCAACUCAGAAUCUAAGAAGA
rnacentral:lncRNA from 1 species